UGCAGAGAUAGCAGCAAGAAUAGUGAGAGCAAAUGAGAGGGUGACAACGAAGGCCAAUAGAAGGGAAAACAAACUCUCUGGAGCCGGGAUGUUUUGGGAAACCGAGGAGGCCACAGCAAGCCGGUUUGAACUGGCACAAAAGGCACCAGAAGCAAAGUGGAAUUACCAUCCCCCCGCCCUCCCAGGAGCCCAGGACUUAAAACCCUCGUGAGAGCUGGAGCAACUCGGAGAUCAACAGCGGAUCCUCGGACGACCUGGGCCCAGGACACCACUCCCAUCCACCCUUCCCCUCCUCUCUUCUAACGUUACACCCAGGCCUGGCCAGAUAAGAGGAUGGAAUGGCUCCAUGCUACAAGGUGCUGAGCACUCUGACCCCAAUUCAGGAAAGCACUUAAGUAUAGGUUUAAUUUUGAGCAGUAUGUCUGCAAGGACUAUGCGCAAGCUGAGAGACUGGGCAUCCUUUGAGGGUAGGAGACAAUACACCAGAAUUUGAGAACAUGAUUGCAGGAAUCUUACUUCUUCGUCAGAGUUCCUCAAGCAUGGAUGGAGCAAAAAUGGCCUUGGCUGCUCUUCCUGCCUAG